rnacentral:sRNA from 1 species
AUUUAGCCCUGAUCGAAACGGCAUCCUUUUGUUCUGUCAUUGCGAGGAACGAAGCAAUUUUUUAGACAGUACAAAAGAUACAGUGCAGAGCAGGAAUUAGC